GACGUACUGCGCGAACGUUAUUCGGAAUCACUGGGCUUAAAGGGUGCGCAGGCGGCUUCUCAAGCCCGGGGUGAAAUGCCCCGGCCCAACCGGGGACGUGCUUCGGGGACUGAGAGGCUCGGGCGAGCUAGGGGUCUGUGGAACUCCCGGUGGAGCGGUGAAAUGUGUUGAGAUCGGGAGGAACGCCGGUGGCGAAAGCGACAGACUGGGGCUUUGCCGACGCUCAUGCACGAAAGCCAGGGGAGCGAACAGG
rnacentral:rRNA from 1 species